rnacentral:rRNA from 1 species
GACGAACGCUGGCGGCGCGCCUAACACAUGCAAGUCGAGCGAAGGGGCGGACGGGUGAGUAACACGUGAGUAACCUGACUUUUACACAGGGAUAGCAUCGGAAAACCGGGAUUAAAACCUGAUGUUAAAAGAUGGACUCGCGUCACAUUAGCUAGUCGGUGAGGUAACGGCCCACCAAGGCAACGAUGGGUAGCCGGGCUGGGAGGGUGAACGGCGACAUUGGAAGUGAGCAACGGUCCCAACUCUACGGGAGGCAGCAGAGGGGAAUAUUGCACGAUGGGGUAAACCCUGAUGCAGCGACGCCGCGUGAGCGAAGAAGGCCUUCGGGUCGUAAAGCUCUUUUAUAUGUGAAGCGGUACCAUAAGAAAAAGCCCCGGCUAACUACGUGCCAGCAGCCGCGGUAAUUC